UACGGAGGGUGCAAGCGUUGUCCGGAUUUAUUGGGUUUAAAGGGUGCGUAGGCGGGCCUUUAAGUCAGUGGUGAAAGCCGACAGCUUAACUGUCGAAAUGCCAUUGAUACUGGGGGUCUUGAGUACAGUAGAGGUAGGCGGAAUUAAUGGUGUAGCGGUGAAAUGCAUAGAUACCAUUAAGAACACCGAUUGCGAAGGCAGCUUACUAUAGUGUAACUGACGCUGAGGCACGAAAGUGUGGGGAUCAAACAGGAUUAGAUACCCUGGUAGUCCACACUGUAAACGAUGAUCACUCGCUGUUGGCGAUAGACAGCCAGCGGCUUAGCGAAAGCGAUAAGUGAUCCACCUGGGGAGUACGCUCGCAAGAGUGAA
rnacentral:rRNA from 1 species